rnacentral:rRNA from 1 species
CAAUAGCGUAUAUUAAAGCUGUUGCGGUUAAAAAGCUCGUAGUUGGAUUUCUGUCAAGUACAACUGGUCCGCCCUCCGGGUGAGCACAUAGUUUGGUCUUGGCAUCUUGCUGGAAAUUGUUGCUGCACUUGGCUGUGUGGCGCAGUGUCCAGCACUUUCACUUUGAGGAAAUUGGAGUGUUUCAAGCAGGCAAUGCCUUUGAACACAGUAGCAUGGAAUAAUUAGAUUGGGCUUUUGCUCCAAUUUGUCGGUUUCUGGAGCUGAGGUGAGAAUUAAUGGGGAUUGUUGGGGGCAUCCGAAUUUAGCCGUCAGAGGUGAAAUUCUUGGAUCGGCUAAAGACGGACUACUGCGAAAGCAUUUGCCAAGGAUGUUUUCAUUGA